rnacentral:piRNA from 1 species
UGAAGAGGAGGGAGGCAGUCUGCGCGC